rnacentral:rRNA from 1 species
UACCAGACUCCUACGGGAGGCAGCAGUGGGGAAUAUUGCACAAUGGGGGGAACCCUGAUGCAGCGACGCCGCGUGAGGGAAGAAGGUUUUCGGAUUGUAAACCUCUGUCCUCUGUGACGAUAAUGACGGUAGCAGAGGAGGAAGCCACGGCUAACUACGUGCCAGCAGCCGCGGUAAUACGUAGGUGGCGAGCGUUAUCCGGAAUUACUGGGUGUAAGGGGCGUGUAGGCGGGAAAGCAAGUCAGAUGUGAAAACCAUGGGCUCAACCUGUGGCCUGCAUUUGAAACUGUUUUUCUUGAGUACUGGAGAGGCAGACGGAAUUCCUAGUGUAGCGGUGAAAUGCGUAGAUAUUAGGAGGAACACCAGUGGCGAAGGCGGUCUGCUGGACAGCAACUGACGCUGAGGCGCGAAAGCGUGGGGAGCAAACAGGAUUAGAUACCCUGGUAGU